CCUGAACGCUGGCGGCGUGGCUAAGACAUGCAAGUCGCACGGGGCCCGCAAGGGCCCAGUGGGCGAACGGGUGAGUAAUGAAUCGCUAACGUGCCCCGGACUCCGGGAUAGCUCGUCCGAAAGGGGAGGUAAUACCGGGUGACAUACCCCAGAGGCAUCUGUGGGGUCUCAAAGGCGCAAGCCGGUGCGGGAGCGGGCGGAUUUCGUAUCAGGUAGUUGGUGGGGUAACGGCCCACCAAGCCGACGACGCGUAGCCGGACUGAGAGGUUGGCCGGCCACAUC
rnacentral:rRNA from 1 species